rnacentral:rRNA from 1 species
UACAGAGGUCCCGAGCGUUGUUCGGAUUUACUGGGCGUAAAGGGCGCGUAGGCGGCGUGUUAAGUCACUUGUGAAAUCUCUAAGCUUAACUUAGAACGGUCAAGUGAUACUGAUGUACUAGAGUGCAGAAGGGGCAACCGGAAUUCUUGGUGUAGCGGUGAAAUGCGUAGAUAUCAAGAGGAACACCUGAGGUGAAGACGGGUUGCUGGGCUGACACUGACGCUGAGGCGCGAAAGCUAGGGUAGCAAACGGG